GAAACUUGUCUGCCAUGCAUGACCUUUGGCGAGCAUUCACACAGGCCAAAAAUGUUUUCUCCUUCUGCGCCUAUUCAUUUGACAUACCUCUUCCCCAGAUUUCUUUGUCCCUAAUCUUCCCAUGUUUUCUUUCCCUGACAGGCAGUCAUUGUCCGUAAAUUAAGAUUGACCCAUACAUCAGGCCAUUUCUCCUCCCAUGCAAAGUGGGCAGCCACAUGUCUACCUGAUGUUCUGCCCACUGGGAAAAUUUCCCUUUGCCUCACUUUCUGGGCCAUCUCUGAGAGAGGCUGAAUGCAGUGACCGUCCCCACUGCUGGAGCCAACACCCCCCCAGGCCCAUCUGUAUACCAAGCUUGUGCCUCCUCAUCUCUCCACUGUUCAUAGGGAAUCCCCACUCGGCCUGAAGUGUAAGUUGAAUGAGAGGUAGCAACGAAUCAGCCUAGGCACCGCGGCAGUCUGAGCCACCUGAUCAUGCAGUCACUUGUGUCUUGCCAAAAUCCAGAAUUGAGAAGGAAACAAGAACAACGGCAGGAGAUGCUCCCUUCCUCUGCUUGAAGUCUCGGCUUAACAUCGCUCUGUGAGAUUAUCAGUGGACCUGAAAAUGGGAAGAGUCCGUCCUUUGAUUUGCCAAAAUGUAUCACCAAGAACUAACACACAAAGCUUAAAGCUUAACAGCAUACGUUUGUAGUCACGUAGACUUGAGUUCAAAUUGUGGCUCUGCCAUCACUGGCUCCUUGACCUUAGAAAAGCCAAUAACCUCUCUGUGGUCUACAAAAUGGGGAUUACCACUCCACCCACCUUAUAGGGCUGUAAUGAAGACGAAACACAAUAACACGUCACAGUGGUUAACGCAGUACCCGGUAUGUUAGACAUGUUCAAUUAAUCCAGCUAUUAUUAUUGAGUAAUAGUUCCUUAUUGCUACUCUACUGUAGAAUCUUCUAAAGUUAAGCUUAAAGAGCUCUCAAAUCCAUACGCUGUAGGUGCUUCUAAACUGAAAAGUUUAUGCCUCCUCCUCAGACCCGCCUUGGUUACCACAUCUCAAGCAGCAGGUCACCACUUCAGUAAGGCAUUCUGACUCAGAAAGUUUACACAUUUAGAGAUUAUUGUUAUCUGCUAUGCUCUAUUACAGCAUUCUUCUCUGUCAGAAAUUGAAGCACUUUUGGGCCAACGCUACUCAGAAAGAAGAAAAGUUAUUAAAACGAGAAAUUUAAAAAACAUACACAAGCAUUAGUGCCUAAAUUAACUGAAAGUACAUAAUGCCGACAGUGGGCAAGUGAUCUGGCAAUGGUGGUGGCUGACAUCACAGUCAUUUUCAGCUAACCAAGCUGUUCUUUAAGGGACUAAGACAAAAAUGGAGGCUUUCUGAAUUUUCAGACACCUGUCUUUAAUUAUUGACCUAUCUUGUUAGUGAAUCCCAAAGAUGGCAGUAAAGCUCAGAAACAGUAUUUCUUUCUUUCCAGCUGACGCUGAUAAGGACCUAUCAGAGUGGCCACUUACUUAUGGUUUCUAGAAACGCAAUUGAAGUUCAAGGUCUGGGCUCCACUGAAGUGACCAUUAGCAAAGUUCCAAAAAAGAAAGAAUGUGGGGGAGAUGGUGGCUGAUGAGAGAGAUGGUUCUCUCUUUUAAUUUCCACUCCCUGAAAGCUCUAGUCUCCACCCAUAGCUGCAGCCAACUGUGAAACUGAGACCACCGGGUCAUCUGCUUGUAUAAAUAUGGCCAUGCAGCUAGUGAUUCUGAGCAUCCGACCAAAUGAUGAUAAAUUCUCUGCAAAUCAUUUUUAAGUCCUGCUUAGACAGCUGUUUAUGUAUAGGUAUGCUCAAAGGAGUGGCCUCAGGUCAGGUCCAAGUCUUUUAUGAAACUCAUGGCUCCUGGCACGAGCCCAGAUUGCUCAUUUCUAUCCUGCCUUGCAUCAGAAUAAUCAAAUUAGACCUUAAGCUAUUAAAAUGAAGACAGAUGCACUAGAAUACUCUAACCAGAAUGGGAAAAGUGGUGUAAUUUCUCCUCCUGGGCAUUUGCUGUAUUAAUGAAACGUGGCCAAAAGUCCUGUGCUGACCAGACACAGGGCCCCUGUGUCAAGUAAAUAUAUAACAGAGGGAAACAAGGACAACUCCACAGGUGACAAGGGUGCAAAGGGUUUGUUGUUCCAACAUAAAAAACACAAAAUUUGCUAAGCAAAAUUGAAGUGAGAAACUAGGAACAUAGACAUAUAUAUAUACAUAUUUUUUCAUUCCCAAGGUAUAAAUGCAUAAAUUGAGUCUUUAUAAACUAAAGAAAAAAGACAUGAAGGCAGUAAAAUAAAACAUUAACAGUGAGUUGUGAUAUGAUGGGUAGUUUGGGUUAUUUUCUUCAAAACUUAAGUAUUUUCUACACUUCAACUUUUCUACAAUGAAUCUAUAUUACUUUAACAAAUAGGAGCAUUUACCCAAAAAAGUGGAAUUUUUUUUUUUUAACUAAACAGACUCAACGCAAACAGCUGGAACCAGAGCAGACUUAAAAGCAGAGUUAAACUCAACACUCCUUGCUAAGGAAACCCGAUCAUGAUUCUCAGCCGAGGCCAUCUCCAGCAUCCUGUCUGGGACCGGGCAGAGGGUUAGCUGAGAGAUGCUGGGAAGUCCGCUUUGGCUGGUGGUUCCAACAACACUUCUAGUCCUGAGACAAAAACCAGGAGAGUACAGUUGUUCCUGAUUGGUGGUAAGAUAACACUCAAAUUGAAAACGAUGAUUCGUCAGCUUUAUGGAGAGAACACAGGCUCACACCUCCCAAUAUGUCUCAGUCUGCAAUUAAUUGUCAAUGUGCCAUUAGAAGCCAGCCUCACAGUUAUUAAACAAAGCAAAGAUGGUGAAAACAAAACAAGUUUAUGAUCUACAACAAAGAAAAAGAGCCAAUAGAAUCGGGGACAAUACUCCAUGUGAAAAAAUAUUGUCCAACUGGAAGAGAGGAAGCAACUGAUUAUUAUGCAAAAAAAAGAGGCAACUACAAAAAAGAAUGGGGAGAGGAGGAAAAGGCACACGGAUUGAAACAAUCGUGGUCAGAAAGAGCAGGAGCUGAUGUCAUACUUGGCACUCGCUGAAGUAAUACUCAUUCCUCUGAGGGAUGGUUGAAUACGUUAAGGAAAAAUAAAAAAUAUACUAUUUGCAACCAUACCAGACUUGAUCAGGAAUGAACUCCAGAGACAUCUAUGCAUGUGGAAGAAGAUAGACACCAACCAGUUUGCGUCACAACCUGGCUGUCACGUCCCACUUACCGAAGAACUUACCACUGACGGUUUGAAAGAAAAUGCAUAUUUGUUUUUAUCAAAUAAACUCAGGAAAAUAGUACUAAAAAAUCUAUGAGUUUCAAAAGAGGUUUGGCUAAGUGCUUACAACGUCCACUGCAGUGUUUGAAGCAGCUGCCCUCCUUAGCAAAGUUGCCUGGGAACUGACCAGCCCAAAGAAGGCCUGGACCACCGUAUUUCAGUCAAAGUGUUCAGGAGCAGAAGCAAGAGAUAGCCAAACUACGCACAUCUCCAGUCUAUAAAUGCGGACUGCUAUAAGUUGAAAUAUCCUAAAUCGUCUUUGCGAGUCUCCUUUUCUUAGCUGUUCAUAAUCGUGGAUUUCCACUCAUGCAUCUCACGUUAUCCCCUUGGAAGGAAUUCACUAAAAUGUUCAUGGUAUAUUCACUACACUUGGGUGCACACCAAGUCAACAUUUAUUAGAUGUUUCUGAAUAUGAUUAUUUCAAUAGAUAUUUUUGGCAUUGUUUUUUAAUUAAAGAAAUUGUUUUUGUAUCCUAUCCUAUUCUAACUGUCCCAGCUUGCCCCUCAAGGAGUGUAAUCUCUUCCUUCUUCAGGUCUUGAUGGCUUCUGUACCUCUCUUAGGAAAUACUCUAUUUUACCUUUAUUAUUGUUUGUGUUUGUAUUUAUUUCAUGCAUUAGGCCGAGAACAAUUUAAGGCAGGAUUUGUCUGUCUCAGCUUUGUAUGAUCUCUAACACUUUGCAAGUGGUAGGAACUCCGGAAAUAUGUUUUGAGAUUAAUUGGAUACAAUUAUUUGGCAUAGACGAUAUGAGUUAUGCUGUCCUAGAUAACUAGUAAAAAAUAUCCAAAAUUGCAUUCAUGAUAUCAUUCACAUCCAUCAAUCAAAAGCCUGCUCAUUGCCCUGCAUUUUUAAUGAUUAAUGCCACCAACAAUCUCCCAGAUACCUCCCUAUCACCUUCAUAUAUUCUUUCCUUCGUUACCCACCUAGUUCUGUUGUUGCCACUUCUACAGCAACUCUUCCCUCUUCUAAUUUCUUCUGUCUUGCUAUAAGUGCUUUAUUUCAUAAUAGACUCCAUGUAAGACCUUCCUAAUUUGGCUUACUCCCUUCUGGUGCAUCCUUCCCACCACUGCCAAGGUAACCUUCCUAACACAUAAGAUCUUACUUGUUUUCUUCCUCAAAAACCUCAAAACACUCUCAGUUACCCAAAACCUACAUGGCUUUUCCCAAGGCCACUAAUCUCAUCUCAAGCCAACUCUCGGCCUCAUUUCCAGCUAAUUAGAGCCACAAGUCCCACACUCUGGCCACAUGGGUCAUUCACCAGUUCCCAACAUCUUAUACACUUUCAUCGCUUGUCUUUAGGGAACUGCCUAGACAGUUCCCUAAAAUUUUAAAAAUUCUAUAUGAAGGUCAGAUUUAUAUAGAAUCAAGUUUAACAGAACGAGGUAAAUGGGAGGUACCGGAAACUUCUUCAGCUAUCAGCAGUCAUGCAUUUCUUUAGCAAUAAGAGUACAAAAGAAGUAAAGCUAGAAGCAGAACCACUCAACAUCAUCCCAAUGAUGUAUACCUCGUAGGUAUCAAACUCCUGGACAGCAAAAAAGUGACUGCACAUUUUGAUCCUGGAAGGGGAGCAAUUUUUGUCUCUUUUGUUUCCUCAUCUCCCAGGUGCCUAGAACAAUGCCUGCCACAUAGUAGAAACUAAAUAAAGACCUGUUGAAGGAGGGAAAAUAUCACGAGGCCUAUUCUAUAUGGAAGAAAUUGAAGUGGAUGCAUUCAAUGGGUGCCCACUCUGCACCUGGCAGUGCAUGAACACUGGGGACAGCAAUAGGCAUAAGGAAGCCAUGCCCUGCUCCUGAGGAGCUUACAGUCCAGAGAAUAAGUGGAGUGGGAAAUACUUGAUGCUAGGCCUUGGUUCCCUCAACCGUCAAGGGAGAAAUUAGACAAAACCCUCUACAGUCUCUGGUCCCUUCUUGUCUUAAACAUGCUGUUUACUUUCCCAGAUGAAAGUUCCUAGAGGCCCCAGGCUGUGCUCUCCCAUCUUUGGAUUCCCUAUGGUACCUGGUGCGGUACCUUGCAACUAAUUGUUGCUUAUUACCUUAUUUUUUUUAACUGAACUGAUUGGGAUACAAUUGUCUAAUUUUUAAAACAGAAAUAAAAUUAGAGGGCGAUAAAGAAGAAAACUUCUCUGGCCAUUAUCGUAAGAAAAGAGUGUCCUCAAUAAAUAGAUCCUAGACUAUGAUGGGAGGCAGCACAGAGGAGAAGACACAGAAAACCUUCCACUUUCAGACAAGGACUCCCCACUUUGGGCAAAUUGCUUAGCCACCUUAAGCCUCGACUUCCUCAAAUACAAUAAGAAUAAUCAUACCUACCUCACAGGGUUGAGAGAACCUCAUCAGAUAACGAAUGUGAAAUUGCUUUCUAAGUACGAAGAAGAUUCACUAACAUUAGUUAAUAUCGUUACCACUGAUUCCCAUGCGUGGCUGCAGAUCCACCCCGCACCUCCACUGCCUUCUUCCCUGACCCUAGUCAACUGGGUAGAGGAUGGAAGGAUAUUUAACUCUUAACUUCCCUACAUUUAAACUAUUGACUGUCUCACAUCUAGAAUUUAAAAUGUAGCUAAAAUCAGGUUUCCCAUUUUUGGAAAUAUUUGUUGAUUAACUAAUUUGGGAAAAGAAUAUAAGAAAGUCAAGAAAGUAGGUAAAAAUUAUGCAUACAUUUGGUUCAUUCCAUUUAGAAAGAAAUAGGACAUACCAAAAAACAUAAGGAAAUUAUUCAAAGAAGGAAAAUAAAAGUUCACGAAGAUAUUCACUGCAAUCUUAUUUACAUCAGUGGAAAACAAUGACUUUCUUAUCCAGCACUGGAGGAGCAUCAAAGGCCCCUACUGUCCUCGAACCUCAGGGUGACUGCCUUUGGGGAAGAAGAAAUUAUGGAAUGGAGGUUCUUGAGCUCACCUUCAGUAUUCUGGAUUCAGUAGGUUUGGUUCAACAACUAGACAUUUGUAUUCAGCACCAAUGGCCUAAGCAAUGGCUGUGGUACAAUCAUUUAAUGGACAUUUUAAAAAAGAUAAUGUCGUGACAUGGAAAAACACAAUUAUAAUUGCUUCGGUGAUUUGAAAAUCUUUAAAAAUAGUAUAAUUAUAAUUUCCUAGAUGACUUUAAUGUCUGUAUUCAUUCAGACCAAGCAAUAUGUGGAUUUGGGAUUUUAUGAACACUUCAGAAAAAAACCCAGCCAACAGUAGUGGUUUCUGCCCUUCCCAUCAAGGCUUCUAAUUAGUGUAACUGAGUAAAUACUUCCUGGAUCUUAGGGGAAUAGCUUAGAUUUGUCAAUAGACAAUAGGACAAGACACAGUACAGCAGCAUAACCAUUAACCUCUGUCACAAAAAAAAACAAAACAACAACUAUAGCAACUACUACCACAAAUUUAGAACCCAGAAAUGUUCACACUGUGACAAUUCAGUGUGCAGACAUUAUAAUCACACAUAUAUAACACCAUUGUGGCUUUUCCAGAACCAUCCGAAAGCUUAAAGAACUUUGACCUUUAUCCACCGCUGGUGUUGCUAAAUUAAAAGGUUUAGGUAUCUUUUAAUCCCUUAGCACCUUCAGCUGAAAUGCAUUCUCUGGUACUAUGGAUAAGAAGAAAUGAACCAAGAAGCUGGCUCAUUUAUAAAAUAGUGAUUUUUAAUAGUCUUCUGUUUGGAGCCCAAUCUUAACAGUUAAUCUUGGGUAAUAAAGCAUUUAAUAGAUAAGUACUUCUUCCCCGUGCCUCUUCAUUUCCCGGGGAGGGCAAUCUAUGUAAAGCUCACAUUUCCCAUUGAAAUGGGACGUGUUGGAUGCUAGAAUUGUUCCUAGGUUAAGUCAAACCAAUUGUUACUUAAGAGAAUCAGGCCAAAGUGGAUCUUCCUCUCUAUUCUCUAAUACCUACCUCUAAGUCCUCCUUUGUCAAGAGCAAACAUAGCCACGGAAUGCCUUAGAUAUAGUGGAGCACAGAAAUUGCUUUCUUCUCAGAACUGACAAAAAGGAAGAAUUUACUCACUAACUCAAUUACUUGUGAUAACUAGAAACAUAAUGCAAAGUCCCAGCCAUGGUCUGGUCCUCACAAUAGGAGCUAAGGAUAAAGUCCCACCAAAGAUACUAUUUACAACAAGGUAGGAUGUAGGAAUUUGGAUGGCGUUAAAAAUAUAUUCCUUCAUCCCAUACCAGCAACAAAG
rnacentral:lncRNA from 1 species